GAUAAACGCUGGCGGCGUGCCUAAUACAUGCAAGUCGAGCGAACGGACGAGAAGCUUGCUUCUCUGAUGUUAGCGGCGGACGGGUGAGUAACACGUGGAUAACCUACCUAUAAGACUGGGAUAACUUCGGGAAACCGGAGCUAAUACCGGAUAAUAUUUUGAACCGCAUGGUUCAAAAGUGAAAGACGGUCUUGCUGUCACUUAUAGAUGGAUCCGCGCUGCAUUAGCUAGUUGGUAAGGUAACGGCUUACCAAGGCAACGAUGCAUAGCCGACCUGAGAGGGUGAUCGGCCACACUGGAACUGAGACACGGUCCAGACUCCUACGGGAGGCAGCAGUAGGGAAUCUUCCGCAAUGGGCGAAAGCCUGACGGAGCAACGCCGCGUGAGUGAUGAAGGUCUUCGGAUCGUAAAACUCUGUUAUUAGGGAAGAACAUAUGUGUAAGUAACUGUGCACAUCUUGACGGUACCUAAUCAGAAAGCCACGGCUAACUACGUGCCAGCAGCCGCGGUAAUACGUAGGUGGCAAGCGUUAUCCGGAAUUAUUGGGCGUAAAGCGCGCGUAGGCGGUUUUUUAAGUCUGAUGUGAAAGCCCACGGCUCAACCGUGGAGGGUCAUUGGAAACUGGAAAACUUGAGUGCAGAAGAGGAAAGUGGAAUUCCAUGUGUAGCGGUGAAAUGCGCAGAGAUAUGGAGGAACACCAGUGGCGAAGGCGACUUUCUGGUCUGUAACUGACGCUGAUGUGCGAAAGCGUGGGGAUCAAACAGGAUUAGAUACCCUGGUAGUCCACGCCGUAAACGAUGAGUGCUAAGUGUUAGGGGGUUUCCGCCCCUUAGUGCUGCAGCUAACGCAUUAAGCACUCCGCCUGGGGAGUACGACCGCAAGGUUGAAACUCAAAGGAAUUGACGGGGACCCGCACAAGCGGUGGAGCAUGUGGUUUAAUUCGAAGCAACGCGAAGAACCUUACCAAAUCUUGACAUCCUUUGACAACUCUAGAGAUAGAGCCUUCCCCUUCGGGGGACAAAGUGACAGGUGGUGCAUGGUUGUCGUCAGCUCGUGUCGUGAGAUGUUGGGUUAAGUCCCGCAACGAGCGCAACCCUUAAGCUUAGUUGCCAUCAUUAAGUUGGGCACUCUAAGUUGACUGCCGGUGACAAACCGGAGGAAGGUGGGGAUGACGUCAAAUCAUCAUGCCCCUUAUGAUUUGGGCUACACACGUGCUACAAUGGACAAUACAAAGGGUAGCGAAACCGCGAGGUCAAGCAAAUCCCAUAAAGUUGUUCUCAGUUCGGAUUGUAGUCUGCAACUCGACUAUAUGAAGCUGGAAUCGCUAGUAAUCGUAGAUCAGCAUGCUACGGUGAAUACGUUCCCGGGUCU
rnacentral:rRNA from 1 species